ensembl:snRNA RNU6-911P RNA, U6 small nuclear 911, pseudogene
GUGCUUGCUUCAGCAGCACAUAUACUAAAAUUGGAACAAUACAGAGAUUAGCAUGGCUGCUGUUUAAAAAUUAAAUUUAAAAAAAUUGGACAGGCACAGUGGCU